UUGGCGGACGGGUGAGUAACGCGUGGGUAACCUGCCUUACACAGGGGGAUAACACUUAGAAAUAGGUGCUAAUACCGCAUGAGCGCACAGGACCGCAUGGUCGAGUGUGAAAAACUGAGGUGGUGUAAGAUGGACCCGCGUCUGAUUAGCUAGUUGGUGAGGUAACGGCCCACCAAGGCGACGAUCAGUAGCCGGCCUGAGAGGGUGGACGGCCACAUUGGGACUGAGACACGGCCCAAACUCCUACGGAAGGCAGCAG
rnacentral:rRNA from 1 species